rnacentral:rRNA from 1 species
AUUGAACGCUGGCGGCAUGCUUUACACAUGCAAGUCGAACGGCAGCGCGGGCUUCGGCCUGGCGGCGAGUGGCGAACGGGUGAGUAAUGCAUCGGAACGUGCCCAGUAGUGGGGGAUAGCCCGGAGAAAGCCGGAUUAAUACCGCAUACGACCUGAGUGUGAAAGCGGGGGACCGAAAGGCCUCGCGCUAUUGGAGAGGCCGAUGUCGGAUUAGCUAGUUGGUGGGGUAAAGGCUUACCAAGGCGACGAUCCGUAGCUGGUCUGAGAGGACGACCAGCCACACUGGGACUGAGACACGGCCCAGACUCCUACGGGAGGCAGCAGUGGGGAAUUUUGGACAAUGGGGGCAACCCUGAUCCAGCCAUGCCGCGUGCGGGAAGAAGGCCUUCGGGUUGUAAACCGCUUUUGUUCGGGAAGAGAUCCUCUGGGCUAAUACCCCGGGGGGAUGACGGUACCGGAAGAAUAAGCACCGGCUAACUACGUG